AAUCAACGCUGGCGGCGUGCCUCAGACAUGCAAGUCGAACGCGAAAGUUCCCUUCGGGGAGCGAGUAGAGUGGCGCACGGGUGAGUAACACGUAGGUAAUCUACCCUCGAGUGGGGAAUAACUCAGGGAAACUUGAGCUAAUACCGCAUAAUGCAGCGGCACCACAUGGUGACAGUUGUUAAAGCAUUUAUGCGCUUGGGGAGGAGCCUGCGGCAGAUUAGCUAGUUGGUAAGGUAAUGGCUUACCAAGGCAACGAUCUGUAACCGGCCUGAGAGGGCGGACGGUCACACUGACACUGAAUAACGGGUCAGACUCCUACGGGAGGCAGCAGUCGGGAAUUUUGGGCAAUGGGCGAAAGCCUGACCCAGCAACGCCGCGUGAAGGAUGAAAUCUUUCGGGAUGUAAACUU
rnacentral:rRNA from 1 species